rnacentral:tRNA from 1 species
GCCGAAGUGGCGGAAUUGGCAGACGCACUGGACUCAAAAUCCAGCGGUGUAACAACCGUGUGGGUUCGAAUCCCACCUUCGGCACCA